UACGAAGGGGGCUAGCGUUGCUCGGAAUCACUGGGCGUAAAGGGUGCGUAGGCGGGUCUUUAAGUCAGGGGUGAAAUCCUGGAGCUCAACUCCCAGAACUGCCUUUGAUACUGAGGAUCUUGAGUCCGGGAGAGGUGAGUGGAACUGCGAGUGUAGAGGUGAAAUUCGUAGAUAUUCGCAAGAACACCAGUGGCGAAGGCGGCUCACUGGCCCGGUACUGACGCUGAGGCACGAAAAGCGUGGGGAGCAAACAGG
rnacentral:rRNA from 1 species